rnacentral:rRNA from 1 species
CCUACGGGAGGCAGCAGUGAGGAAUAUUGGUCAAUGGGCGUAAGCCUGAACCAGCCAAGUCGCGUGAGGGAUGAAGGUUCUAUGGAUUGUAAACCUCUUUUAUAGGGGAACAAAAUGUGGGACGUGACCCACCUUGUAUGUACCGUAUGUAUAAGGAUUGGCCAACCUCGGUACAGGAGCCCCGGUAAUACGGAGGGUUGGAGCCUUUUCCGGAUUUUAUGGGGUUAAAGGGUGCGUAGGCCGGCUUUGAAGUUAGAGGUGAAAGUCUGGGGUUCAACCAUAGAAUUGCCGUUGAAACUGGCGGGCUUGAGUGUGUUUGAGGCAGGCGGAAUGCGUGGUGUAGCGGUGAAAUGCGUAGAUAUCACGCAGAACUCCGAUUGCGAAGGCAGCAUACC